rnacentral:rRNA from 1 species
AUUGAACGCUGGCGGCAGGCCUAACACAUGCAAGUCGAGCGAGCGGCGGACGGGUGAGUAAUGUAUGGGGACUGCCCGAUAGAGGGGGAUAACUACUGGAAACGGUAGCUAAUACCGCAUACUAUCGGAUAACCCAUAUGGGAUUAGCUAGUAGGUGGGGUAAUGGCUCACCUAGGCGACGAUCCCUAGCGGGUCGGAGAGGAUGAUCAGCCACACUGGGACUGAGACACGGCCCAGACUCCUACGGAGGCAGCAGUGGGGAAUAUUGGGCAAUGGGCGCAAGCCUGACCCAGCAACGCCGCGUGAAGGAAGACGGUCUUCGGAUUGUAAACUUCUUUAGACAGGGACGCGGUACCUGUAGAAUAAGCCACGGCUAACUACGUGCCAGCAGCCGCGGUAAUAC